rnacentral:rRNA from 1 species
CGACGCGACCCCAGGUCAGGCGGGACUACC